AACGAACGCUGGCGGCAUGCCUAACGCAUGCAAGUCGAACGAGAUCUUCGGGUCUAGUGGCGCACGGGUGCGUAACGCGUGGGAAUCUGCCCUUUGGUUCGGAAUAACAGUUGGAAACGACUGCUAAUACCGGAUGAUGACGAAAGUCCAAAGAUUUAUCGCCAGAGGAUGAGCCCGCGUAGGAGUAGCUAGUUGGUGUGGUAAAGGCGCACCAAGGCGACGAUCCUUAGCUGGUCUGAGAGGAUGAUCAGCCACACUGGGACUGAGACACGGCCCAGACUCCUACGGGAGGCAGCAGUGGGGAAUAUUGGACAAUGGGCGAAAGCCUGAUCCAGCAAUGCCGCGUGAGUGAUGAAGGCCUUAGGGUUGUAAAGCUCUUUUACCCGGGAUGAUAAUGACAGUACCGGGAGAAUAAGCUCCGGCUAACUCCGUGCCAGCAGCCGCAGUAA
rnacentral:rRNA from 1 species